GGCUUUAUAGUCAAUAAUGAUAUUAGACUGCAAUUCUAAAGGAGUAGAUACUACUAAGGCUU
rnacentral:tRNA from 1 species